rnacentral:misc_RNA from 1 species
AAUGUGUAUGUGUUUUUAUUUUGUAGUUUUAAUGACCUUUGCUGGGAUUUAAUUGAAAUUUUUAAAGAUGCCACCAAAAAGAGGAAGGGGUCGAGACUUCUGGAAGUUGCUAAAGUCCAGCUAACAGUCUAUCAGCGGAUGCUGUGUUGAAAUAUAGGUGAGUAAUGCUGAACUGGAAAUGCCAUGAUGGUAGGAUUGUAUUCAUGACUCUUUCAUGUGGAAAAUGAGCUUUUUUUAGAACAGCUCUUUUAUAUCUGGCCAGAUAUCAGAACACAACAUCCUUUUUGGUGAUAAUAAGAAUCCUUGGACUUCUCGCAUAACAUUUCAGUCCUCCUACUGAAGCACAAUUUAUACUCAGCUACUAAAGCACAAUUCAGAUCAUAGAAUUAUCAGAACCAUGGUGGAACAUUGUUGUGUUUAUUACACUCACAUUUGAUAUAAUUCCAUGAUAGAUCUUCUCAUUUAAGUGUAUUUAAUUUGUCUGUUGUCAAGCUGUGUAUAUUUUCUUUCUUAUCAUUUAUCAAGUUAUUUUAUGCAGUUAAAAUAAAUGCUGUUGAAAACUAAAA